GUUAAUCUGAUUUUUUUUAGCCCUGCACCAUGUAUAACCCACCCUAUCUCUGUUCAGCCUGUGUGUUCCAGGUAUUUGAAUACGUAUUGUCCCCGAGAGUACACCCCGGUAUGUGGAACAGAUGGAUACACCUAUGGAAGUGAAUGUCAUUUGUGCUGGGAAAAUAAGUAAGGGAAAUGUCUACCAAUAAUAUAGUGUCUUUGGUUUUACUCCACAGUGAGAUUUAGAAAUUCAAAAUUUCUACUACUAAUUUCUAAGACCAACUUAAAAAAAAUAAACCAAAUAGAAUUUAUUUUAUUUAUUUUUUAAUGUCUGUAAAAAUUAUGUCAUGUAGUAUUUAUGCUCAUAAUUUUUUUAUUUAUUUUUUAUUACACAUACACAUUGCCAAUUAAAGGGAAACUGUCACUGCUCUCUCUAUACUGACUGCCAGGUGUAAAGGGCGGAGCUUAUAACAAUGAUUGACAGGGAGCUAAGAUGGAGCUUAUAACAAUGAUUGACAGGGAGCUAAGAUGGAGGUGGCUCUCUCUAUGCUGACUGCCAGGUGUAAAGGGCGGAGCUUAUAACAAUGAUUGACAGGGAGCUAAGAUGGAGGUGGCUCUCUCUAUGCUGACUGCAGAUGGAGGUGGCUCUCUCUUUACUGACUGCCAGGUGUAAAGGGCGGAGCUUAUAACAAUGAUUGACAGGGAGCUAAGAUGGAGGUGGCGCUCUCUAUACUGAUUGCCAGGUGUAAAGGGCGGAGCUUAUAACAAUGAUUGACAGGGAGCUAAGAUGGAGGCGGCUCUCUCUAUACUGACUGCCAGGUAUAAAGGGCGGAGCUUAUAACAAUGAUUGACAGGGAGCUAAGAUGGAGGUGGCUCUCUCUAUACUGACUGCCAGGUGUAAAGGGCGGAGCUUAUAACAAUGAUUGACAGGGAGCUAAGAUGGAGGCUGCUCUCUCUAUACUGACUGCCAGGUGUAAAGGGCGGAGCUUAUAACAAUGAUUGACAGGGAGCUAAGAUGGAGGCGGCUCUCUCUAUACUGACUGCCAGGUGUAAAGGGCGGAGCUUAUAACAAUGAUUGACAGGGAGCUAAGAUGGAGGCGGCUCUCUCUAUACUGACUGCCAGGUGUAAUGGGCGGAGCUUAUAACAAUGAUUGACAGGGAGCUAAGAUGGAGGCGGCUCUCUAUACUGACUGCCAGGUGUAAAGGGCGGGGCUUAUAACAAUGAUUGACAGGGAGCUAAGAUGGAGGUGGCUCUCUCUAUACUGAAUGACAGGUGUAAAGGGCGGAGUUUAUAACAAUGACUGACAGAGAGCUAAGAUGUCGGCGGCUCUCUCUAUACUGACUGCCAGGUGUAAAGGGCGGAGCUUAUAACAAUGAUUGACAGGGAGCUAUGAUGGAGGGGGCUCUCUCUAUACUGACUGCCAGGUGUAAAGGGCGGAGCUUAUAACAAUGAUUGACAGGGAGCUAUGAUGGAGGUGGCUCUCUCUAUACUGACUGCCAGGUGUAAAGGGCGGAGCUUAUAACAAUGAUUGACCGGGAGCUAAGAUGGAGAUGGCUCUCUCUAUACUGACUGCCAGGUGUAAAGGGCGGAGCUUAUAACAAUGAUUGACAGGGAGCUAAGAUGGAGGUGGCUCUCUCUAUACUGACUGCCAGGUGUAAAGGGCGGAGCUUAUAACAAUGAUUGACAGGGAGCUAAGAUGGAGGAGGCUCUCUCUAUACUGACUGCCAGGUGUAAAGGGCGGAGCUUAUAACAAUGACUGACAGGGAGCUAAGAUGGAGGCGGCGCUCUCUAUACUGACUGCCAGGUGUAAAGCGCGGAGCUUAUAACAAUGACUGACAGGGAGCUAAGAUGGAGGCGGCGCUCUCUAUACUGACUGCCAGGUGUAAAGGGCGGAGCUUAUAACAAUGAUUGACAGGGAGCUAAGAUGGAGGUGGCUCUCUAUACUGACUGUCAGGUGUAAUGGGCGGAGCUUAUAACAAUGAUUGACAGGGAGCUAAGAUAGAGGUGGCUCUCUAUACUGACUGCCAGGUGUAAUGGGCGGAGCUUAUAACAAUGACUGACAGGAGCUAAGAUGGAGGCGGCUCUCUCUAUACUGACUGCCAAGUGUAAAGGGCAGAGCUUAUAACAAUGAUUGACAGGGAGCUAAGAUGGAGGCACACGGGUACAAGAUAAGGAUGUGUGGAUUUUUACAUUUAAUUUGACUUUUCACAAAUCACAAAUACAUACUUAGUAAAUACAGGGAUAAGAAAACAUUACAUUGAUUUUUUUUCUGAAGUGACCAUUCUUUUUUAACUAGUUCUGGUAUGAUAUAGGUCAUUUUUAGGAUUGUGGUGAGAAGCUGGAAUAAUUAUUAUUAUUUUUUAAUUCUUUAUUUUUUAUGUGCAGCAAGAUAACAUGGAUAGUGUACAUAUUCAAGAGUAUAAAUCACAUACGGUUAUCCAGCAAACAAUACAAGGAAACUGCACAUUUAAAAAAAAAUUUAACACGAAAAUUAUAACAAAAGUUACUCAAUGCAUAGAAAUUGCCAUAUAGCUAAAGAGUGGGUCAAGAUAUAUGCAUUGGAUGUUUAGACAGGCUAUAGUAGGUAUAAACAGACUUGUUACAGAUAUACUAUUGGAGUAUAGUAAUUAAAUUUACCACCCCUGGUUAUAGAACAUUGAAGUGCCACAGCACUCCCAAACAGAGAGAAAAUAAGGAAAAUGAAAACUAGAUGCAUGGCUUUAAAACAUGGGUUAAGUGUGAACGCAGGCAGAAGUCCUGUGAGCAUAUUCAGCCAACUCCCUUAGGUGGCAAUGCUGUUACUCCAUCAGGAAAAACAUCAUUCAGAGACAGGGUGUCCAUCCAGCCCCGGGCCUCCAGGAGUGCCGGUAUCUGUGUACCACAGACUCUGGUUCUUCUUGCGACCAAGUCUAUCCCCUUCAGGGAGAGGUCAGAGGAUUUAGGGGCCAAUCGCCGCCUGCAGGGAUUCCUCCGCCUGUGUGCGCGAUGCUGGGAGGUCAUGCCUCUGGUGGCCCUUAACCCCGGUAGAUGAGUAUGGGGUUUUGUUAGCCGCUUUCUAGUUGCGUUAUCCUGAGGAGGCCUUUCUGCCUCUGGGUGGUUGGUUCCCUAUUGGUUGGUUCCCUAGUCUGAUCUUGCUGGCUGUGUUGUGGGCAUGAAGGUUGAGAACUGUUGAAAGAGCUCAUCGAGCCACAUCAGGAAGAGAGUGGAGUGUCUCCUUUGUUGAACUCACACCAUGUGGGUCAGAGUGGAAGACAGUCGCCAUCUUUAGAUGCCUGAGGUUGAAUCUGAAUCUGCUCUGUUGGAGCGGUGAGGCUGGAUCUAACAGCUUUAGAUAGCCCAGGGGGGACCGGGAUAAUCCCCACAGGUCUGAGGGGGGAAAGUGGGGUUAGGAGUGCAAUGGAUCUGGGCCUCGAGUAAAAGCACGAGGAGAUCGGCCACCUUUCCCCAGCUUCACUCACGGUAGGCCGCAGCAGGCUUGCCCAAGCAUCCGCUGUCGGAGAUUCUCAGAAAAGGUUUCAUUCAGCGUGCCCGGGAGCCCCUGACCCGGGAAAUAUUGUAUGGUCAGCGUGAGAGUGUGAUGUUAGGAAUUUAGGAUUAAUACUUCCAAGUCUGCUUAUGUUGCAGGAGCUCAGACACCAAACAUCUCCCCAGCUUGAAGGUCAGGCUCCUCCCCCUGAAACUGGAAUAAUUUUACUUUUUGAAAUCCACUGUCAAUUGUUUUUACUUUUCUGUUCCGUAUAGUACUAAUGAACAAACACACAAACAAACUAAACAAACAAACAAAAAAAUAGUCCAAGCUGUAUGUCCAAGCUGUAUUUAGCAAAUAUUUGUAGAAUUAAGGGGACAAGAAGUGAUAAGAAACUAUUUGAAUGCUUCUAAUCUAGGGACCCCCGGGUAUUACUCAGUAUUAAAGGAACACUAUAGUCACCUAAAUUACUUUAGCUAAAUAAAGCAGUUUUAGUGUAUAGAUCAUUCCCCUGAAGUCUCACUGCUCAAUUCACUGUCAUUUAGGAGUUAAAUCACUUUGUUUCUGUUUAUGCAGCCCUAGCCACACCUCCCCUGGCUAUGACUGACAGAGCCUGCAUGAAAAAAAAACUGGUUUCACUUUCAAACAGAUGUAAUUUACCUUAAAUAAUUGUAUCUCAAUCUCUAAAUUGAACUUUAAUCACAUACAGGAGGCUCUUGCAGGGUCUAUCAAGCUAUUAACAUAGCAGGGGAUAAGAAAAUCUUAAUUAAACAGAACUUGCAAUAAAGAAAGCCUAAAUAGGGCUCUCUUUACAGGAAGUGUUUAUGGAAGGCUGUGCAAGUCACAUGCAGGGAGGUGUGACUAGGGUUCAUAAACAAAGGGAUUUAACUCCUAAAUGGCAGAGGAUUGAGCAGUGAGGCUGCAGGGGCAUGUUCUAUACACCAAAACUGCGUCAUUAAGCUAAAGUUGUUCAGGUGACUAUAGUGUCUCUUUAACAUCUACCUCCUGCUGUAGUGAUCAUAGUUUAACAGAAUAAUAUACGAGGUUUAAAAAUAUAUAUAUUUACAUAAACCAGAGUAGUUUAGUAUUCUUAGUAAAUCUGUAUUCUUAUUAAAUCACAUUCUUUAAACACUCAUGGCUCACGUUACUGUGUGUGCAGAGCUUAUGGGGAACUAAUCAGAUCUUUGUAUGUAUUUUCUUUUAGUCACAGAACGGAGAAAGUCCAAAUUAGAAAAAAUGGACACUGCUGAUCGGCAGCUGAAGACGAAUGCAUAACUCCCCUACUCCCUCCGCCUGUAAUUAAAAUAAACUUUAAUUCUGCUUACUGCUGAGAAAACUGGUUGAUGAGACAAUACAUUACAUUAAGAAUUGGGAUUCUAACAGUGUUGUCUUCUUUCCAAAUCCUUGUUUUAAAAUAUAGCUUUUUAUUGGCUUUAGCGUUUAAACAAUACAUUGUGCUUAAAUGACAUAGGAAUUGCAAACCAAUAUACCCCCACACCCCACCUCUCCCCACACCCCAGAACUGCCACAACAGCCAAAAUGAAAAAGUGACACAGUUAGGAAUUUUUGGCACUUUUUCAUUUUAAUUUUCUCUUUAAUUUGCCCCACUUUUCUACUAAGGGAAAAUGCCGCACUUUACUAUAAACUAUCAGAGCCUUCACCAAUAUCACAUAACUGAAGGCUACAGCCUUCCAGAAACCAGACUCAAAGAAAAUAUGAAUGGGAGGAUAAUUUGAUUAAUUAUUCGUUCUUUUCAAGUGUUGAUAUGAGUUACUAUACUGCUAAUGAAAAUAUGAUGCUGCAAUUCUAGAGUAUACAACUAAAAAUAGGAACACAAUUAAAAUUGGGAAUUGCUACGAAUGUUUAAUAUAAAAGUCAAGAAAUGUCCAUUUAAAAUCUUCCUAUAAAUGGUUUUAUAAACAGUUGCUUAGAGUCAAGUUUAACCCUUGAUUAACAUGGUCAUAUUCUCUUUUUAUGUUAAACAGCUGUGUUUCGAAGACUGCGCAAUAUUUUGCUUUUUUUCUCUUAAAUCCUCCUACCCCAGCUAGUGCGCGAAAAGGAUCCAUUAGCGAUUUCAGUAUGCCGUGUAAAUCUUAAAUAGAGAUGUCAAAAAAAAGAUAACUUUUACAUAGAUAAAUCGAUUACUGUUUUUGCCUACUAUAUAUGCAUGGUAAUGUACAUCAAACAUAACCCAGCACAAGGGCAGG
rnacentral:lncRNA from 1 species